rnacentral:rRNA from 1 species
UACGGGGGGGGCAAGCGUUGUUCGGAAUUACUGGGCGUAAAGGGCUCGUAGGUGGCCAACUAAGUCAUACGUGAAAUCCCUCGGCUUAACCGGGGAACUGCGUCUGAUACUGGAUGGCUUGAGGUUGGGAGAGGGAUGCGGAAUUCCAGGUGUAGCGGUGAAAUGCGUAGAGAUCGGGAGGAACACCAGUGGCGAAGGCGGCCUUCUGGGCCAGCACUGACACUCAAGCACGAAAGCGUGGGGAGCAAACAGG